GGAGGAGAAUAUGUCCCGGGUGGGCUCUGGCUCUGCUUCACUUGGAGUACUUUGUUGCCAAUCUGAUUUGGUACUUUAAAUGGACAGCCCUUGAUGGAGACGAUAUUGAUCUGUCCGAGAAGCAAGAGUUCACCACUGUCAUGAAGAAUCCAUUGCGAGCUCGAAUCUCUCCUAGAGUUCCAUAAGUUUAUAUCCGGUAAUUACUAUUACGACUUAUCGUGAAGUUUUAGUCGAAAGUUUAUGCAAUAUUCACUUCGAUCUCAUGUGUUGAAACUCUAUAUGCAUAUUUGUUCUAUAAAUGAAUCUACGAUUUCUCGUUUUUAUAGGCUCUUUCGAUGUUCUUUUUGGGUUGUCACUUUUGAACACUUCCAGAAAUAUAAGCUCUUCCUGAAAAGGAAUAUGUGAUACCGGCAUGUUUCACAAUAAUAUCAUACUAUUGUAAUCGAAAAAUAUAAGUUCAUCGGUUGAGCAGAUCAAGUUCAAACAAAUCACAAGAAACUCUUGAGAAUAUCUGCAGCUUGAAUGAUCGACUCACUUUGAGUAUUUUGUGCUGUGAUCAAUGUGCUAAAGCAUAAGAAUGACCUGCCAGAGCUCCAUCUAAAGAAUUUUGCCAUUUGUACUUUCUUAAAUUAUAUCAAUGUUGACAUUUCCUUUGUUACUCCACAAAUGCUAGGACGGAAAAACUGUUUCUAUUUUUAUUUUUAUUUUUUUAAGUUGUGGAAUGACAGUUUGCCACAUUUAUCAAAUGACAGGAUAAAUGUGGCAAACUGUCAAAUUUUGUGUACAUCAAGCAUGAUUGCCAUCUAAUGUAUUUCUUCAUACAUUAGUCAAUUUUUAGCUAUAACUCCAAGGAAAUGACAAGUAUUCUUUAAGCCACUAUUUGGUAUAAAUUAAAAUCAGAUUUUAGUAGAUUUUGAAAAAAGUUGUGGGUAGGUAAAAUUAAUCGUUGACUUUAAUUUGAGAUUUUAAUCCAGAUCAAACAGGGGUAAGAAUUUUUUGCCUUGACAAGUAUUUCAGGUUUAAUGUUCACUUUGACAGCGUAACUAAUUCAGCAAAAUUCCCAGUCAUCUUUGUCUUGAAUUUGGGAUAUAAAUUCCUUUAGGGUUAGUAUUCAAGUUCCUUGGACUUUUAUUUUUUAUUUUUGAUAAUUUUACUCUUUCAGUUAGAUGUCGGGUGCGUGUCGCAUGACCAUUUAAAGUCUAAAUAGAGGUUUUCUGUUAUGUGGAAAUACCACAUGCACAAUUGAGAAUAUGGGUACAACAAAUAGAAUAGUGAAGACAUGGCCAUUACACUUGCAUGAAGUUCACGACUCCUUAAGAAAUUAACACUUUAAAAUUUCGCAAGCUAUUGCGUCCUUUAAAGUCAAACCUCUCUAAUACUUAGAUCAUGGGUUCAUUUGACAAACUUUGGAAUUUAAAAUGAGCUUUUGAGAUCUAAAAAUUGUUUCUAGAUUCGUUUGAUUAAUUUUAUGAAAGUGCUUCUUUUAGCUAAAAAGGUUGUUAGAGAAAGUUGGUCGAAUGUGACUUUCUCUAAAAGCGCUUUCGAAAUCGGAAGUGUUUUCAAAAAUCAGGAUAAUUUCCUUCAAAAACUCUUUAACAGAAAGCAAAAGUAAAACAUAUAUCAAAUGAGUCCUAAGAAUUCUUAGGAGACUAUAUCUAGUGAUAUCAAGUUUCAAAAUUGUGUUUAUUCCUCUAGGAUUCCUGUCAAUCUGAUGAACCAUUUCUUGAGCAAUAAGAACGUUAGUUACCCACGCGUCUACCGGGUGGGAAACCACUUUGGUUAUGGGAGAUUAAUAGGGGCAGAUAUUUGUUACGUAACAUUACAUAGACUAAUAGGCAUCAUCAUAACCUUUCCAGAAUUAGUACUAGUGCAAUAGUUGUGAUACCUCUCGGGAAGAUCUUACCACCAAAGAAGUCUUGUACUGCAUCCACUAGGUACGGGUUUAAUGGUUAACUAACAAACAUAACAAACAAUUAUUCUUGGAGUACAUGGUAGGUGUUGUAGGGAGCACUUGGGUUCACGGAAACCCUACCGAGCACUCUAAUAGACCCUCAAUCCACACAACACACCAAAGGCGCAAGCAAAGAUCAAGGGCAAUGGGCACAAUUGCAGACCAAUUGCAUAAUUACAGCACCAAUUGCAGUAUAAAUAAGGGGAAUAAUCACGUUAUCAACAUUCAGAAAUUGGGAGAUUCCUUAGGAGAGUGUGGGCAUCUUGAAUGUCCAUUAAUCUUGUUAUUUUUUUCCAUUUUUUUGUAUAAAGAAUCUGCUUCCCGGAUCACAAGUUCGUUCCUCUUGUAAUCACUGUUUGGUGGUUAAAUUCUCAUAAUAAAACUUCUAUUCUGGUUUGGAUCUAUCACACUCACAGCAUGGGGUGGGUGAGGUUUUUGGCAAUUUUUUAUGCAGGUGGGUCCGCGGUUGGUAAGGGUUCUAACCUGAUAAAACAGCAUUAUUGUAUAACAAAAGAAGGUUGUGAAUCCACCCUUGCCACAUAUUUUGAGUCUGUAUAAAUAAACACUAGGCAUUUAAGCUUUUAAGGCAUGCACUAUCUAAGAUUUUAAUAAAAAUCAUUAUUUGUUAGUGAUUACCGAAUUACCUCCAUUGAUGAUUGUCAACGAAAAUGUGUUCUUGGUGUUGGCAACAUCUGAUAGUUCUUUUGUAAGACAUGCAAAUUUUUUUCUUUUUAUAUUUUUUAUUUUAUAAACUGUCGACGAUUAAGUUCAAAUAUCAAUUUUUUAUAGUAUAAUAUUACUAGGAAAUAAAAUAUUCUUUAAAUUUAUUAUUCGUGAUGGAAUUUCCAUUAGUAUUUGAUUUUUUUACUGCUUUAGUAUUUAAAAGGAGUGGGAUAAUGACUUGAUUCUAUGCCAAAGUUAUGAAAAGAUUUGUAAAAGGCCUACAAUAGACAAGGCGAGAUCAAACAUUCCAUUCUAGAGCAAUCAUUUGAUUCGAAAACAUGGAGCGCGGCAAAGCCAAGAUCCAAACACAGCUUAACCUCUUGGAUUUCUUAUUUAUUUAUUUGAUAUGUAUAUUUUUGUUAGUACUAGUCGACGUUGAACGUACGUUGCAUGUUAUUAUGAAAUGCUUUAUAAAUGCUGUAAAAGUAAUAUUUGAAUAUGCGUGAAUGUUAAUUAAUUUAGAAUUUAUACUAAGGAAUAUAUACAUGACAAUGAUCAUUAAAUUAUCUAUUUAAUUUUCAUUAAGUAAAAUUGAAUGUUAAUUAUCAUACAUAAAUGUGAAUAGUAAAAUGCAUUCUUAAAUGUAAAAAUCUAAUUAACUUAUAAUUAGAGUUAAUAACAUUGAAAUGCAUAAAUGAAAAUGAAUAUUAAUUAAAUGAAUUUGAAUGUUAACGAAUUUAUAAUUAAUAAUAAAGAAUUCAUAUAUUAACGAGAGAAUAUAAGUGAAAUGAAUUUGUCAAAUGUACAUGUACAUUUAUGGUAACUAAUGGUUUAAAUAAAUUAAAUGCAACUUGAAAUAUGAAAACUAAUGUAUUAUUAAAAUAAUGGAAUUAUAGCAAAGCUAAAAUAGUUCUAAAAUUGAUUCUUACUUGAUGUGAUAUUUAAUUUCAAUUAAGUAAAAGUUGGAUAUCAAUUAGCAUAUAUGAACGUGGAUAAUGAAAUGAAUUCUUGAAUGUGAAAUUCUAAUUAACUUAUAAUUAAAAAUAAUAACACAGAAAUGCAUAAAUGAAAAUGAAUAAUAAUUUAAUGAAUGUGUAUGUUAAUGUUAAUUAUUGAAAAUUAAUAAUAAGGAAUUCAUACAUUAAUGAAAGUACACAUGUGAAAUAAAUCUGUCAAAUAUAUGUGUACAUUGAUGAUAACUAAAUGAUUAAAUAAAUUAAAUAUAUAUUGAAAGAUGAAAAGUAUAAUAUUAUUGGAAUAAUUGAAUUAUAGUAGUGUUAGAAUCAUCCAAAAAAAGGAUUCUCAGUUAAUAUGAUAUUUAGAAUAUAAUAGUUAAUGGAACAAAUAAUCAUUGAUGGAAAAUUUAUCUUUGAUCAUCAACAAUUUAUGGUCAACGAUUAUGAUGGAAAUUAAAAUAUGUCUAAACUUUGAACAGAGUUACCAACAACAAUAUUAAUGAAUAUUUGUCAUCGAUUAUCAAAGGUAAUAUUGUACACUUGUUGAUAGUAUUUCGUUUACAGAUCCUGUACACGGAGUCAUUGGUAUUGACAAAGCUUUAUAUUUUAUUUUUUAUAAGUUACCAACAAAUAGAUUGAACUAUCAUUUUAUUUUUUCUUAGUGUAUUAUUUAUUGGUCACAAAUUACUCAUUUUAUUGAUCACAUCAUUCAAAUAAUGGGUCACAAUAGCUCUUCAGCUACCCCACCACCACGCAGAUCUGUACAUCCAUUAUACCACUACAAUCAAAUAUGACAUUGCAACCCAUCACUACAAGGUCACUAGCACACCACAACAUCAACCGCACCACCACGACAGUGUAAAACCCAUCACCACUAAGUAUCUUUGUAGCUACGACGACCAGAUUUUCCCUCGUUAUCCUGAUGGCAAACUCAGUUACCACGGCAGUGAAACUUGUGUCCUUUCCAGGAAACUCACUACCAUUAAUGCUGCAAUUUCUAUUUUUGAAGAGAGAUGUGUUUCCACGAAAAGAAUGACCAAGAAGCGAAAGAAGAUAUUUGCUGACGAUUGGUAGGGCAUUGUGUUCGAUUACAAAUGAGUGUGUAUAACAUGUUUUUAAGCCAUUGUUUUGGCUCUAUUUUAAUGAGGUUUUGGGACAAAUGUAUUUUAGGAUAAUAAUAUUAUGAAGAAUGUAUACUAAAAUAUCAAAAAAAAGGUUUACAUGCAAUAUAAUUUUAUUGAAAAAUGUGUUGUUGAAAAUAGAGAAAGAGAAGAAUGCAUUAAAUUAAAAUUUAGCCGAAACAAGGGCUAAAUUAAAAAAGUCAUAACUUGAUUUUUUAAUCAAAAAAUUAGUAUAUGAUUUUUGAAAUUAAAAAUUAAAAUGUAAGGUUUAAUAGAAUUUUCUCAUUAUUAAAUGAGAAUAUUAUCUUUUGAUGUUUGCAAAAAAUAAAAUAAAAAUUAGUUGCACCAUAAGGAGUAAACUUAAUGGGGGAAGACUUGAUUUAAAUAGUUUAACAAUGAUUAUACUUACAAAAUAUCGAGCUUUAUUUUUAAAAAACUGUGAUUGACAUACACAAAUUUAUUCCCAAUAAAUUCAAAAUAAACACUCAAUAGUUUAAUGAUUUAAAUUUUCCCUAUUUAAAUUCUGAAUAAAAUUUCAAAUAUGAUUUACCAAUAGAAGAAUGAAGAAGAAACAAUCCAAUCUUUAAUGAUAGAUUUUUGCCACAUGUAAUCCCUCCGGAAUACUGUGAAUAAAAUAUCGUCAAAAUAAUAAGCACCCACACCACCCUUUUUUGUUUGUUAUUUGGAGGGAUUCUGUGAACCCCUCCCCGUACUUGUAGUCUCUCUCUUAAUGAUAUUGUCUUAUAUGAAUGACCAAAUCCAUGUCAAUGAUGAUUCUUUCAUAGUUAUUUUAAAAUAUCACUAGGUGAAGAAAAAUUAAAGUGGAAAUUAAUUAAAAAAAAAAAAGCAUUUUCCCAAUAAUGAAUAUUUGAAAUUUUGUUAAAACAUUGAAUGGCCAACACAAUAGAUCAUAGGCUCUACAAAGACAUGCUUAGUGGGUUGUAUCUUAGCCCUCGUUCCAUGUCAUUAAAAAGAUUUUGAUAAAAGUUGAUGAAGUAUGUAGUUGAAAAAUUGAUACUUUCAUAAAAUAUGUGGUUAAAACUAAUUGUUGAUUUUAUAUUAGAUUAAAAUUAAAAUUUUAAUUUCUACCAUUAAUUUUAAUCUCUACCAACCAGGGGUUCAGUGUCUGACCAAAUCUAGAACUCAUCAAUUGGGUUGAAAUAGUGCACGUAGCAGUGCAUGGACCUCAUUUUUCAUGAGUGCAACAAGGAUUUAGGUUCUAAGAUGGCUCGAAAGUGACAUUAGGUACGAUAUUGUUGGGCCACUUAAAAUAGAAGAAACCAAUGAUUGUGACCCAAUAAGGCUGACCCAGUUGCAUUACUUACUUGUUGCCUGAUUUCAAAAUGCGACUUUAGUUCUAUUUAAAAUUGUUGAGAUGAUGACUAGUAACUACACUGGUGAGUCGGUGAUCGUUGAUGACUAGGAUUAAUUGCUUUAUAUUUGAAGCCCCUGUUUGACGACCAAACUAUGGAAAACAAAGUUUUGAAUGAUAUUUUUUAGGAGAAUAAGUGGUUAAAAAGUAGAAAAAAUUUUGAAUUUACGUGCAUAAUAUUUUAUUAUAUAAAUGUACAGUUGAAAAUAAGUAUGUAGAAAAAAAAAUUUGAAAAUAAUUGUUGUCAAAUAUGGGCUAAAUAUUGUUAUCUCUCAUUUGAGAGAUUACUUUAGGGUUUGUUCUGUUUUUGUCUCUAGUGUGUGUUUAUUUAUUAUUUAUUAUUAUUAUUAUUUUGGUGUUUUGUCUUCUUUCUAAAUUUCUCCUUUCUAUUUAAGGUCGAUGUAAAUAGAUAAUAUGGGAGUUUAUAUACUGUUCUAGGUGAACAGUAGUCUCUGAUUACUUGGAAAUUGAGAGAGAAAUCUACAUCAGAGAGCUUCUUGAUUUUGAUAUUUGGUGUAUUAUGUUGUAAUAUCGAACAUUUUGGUUAUGCUAGUGGAUUUAGAGGGUUAAAUACAUUUGUGGAUGAUCAAUGUGCUGAGUAGACCUUUAAGCUGAACAUUUGAGCCCUUGUGAUGAAAAAUCUUGGUGUUUUCGUUUUACUUUGUUAUAUUUUAUGUUUUUGGUCAUUUAUGGGACCAACAAUGGUAUCUGAGCCUUUGAUCUGAAGUAGAACUACUUCGAACCUUCUUUACUUGACUUUCUAUGGUUUUAAAACUCUAGAUUUGUAUAGAUUUAGAAAUUUCAAGGGUGAAAUCUGGUUUUUUUGGAGAUUGACAAUGGGUUCUUGUAAUAUUUUAUUUUUAUCUUGCAUAUUAUUUGAACUUCCGAUAACAUACUCUAACCCUACUUUUAAAUUAUUUUUUUGGUUCAAUCACUAUAUUCUUGGAUCUCUUGACAUUAACUGUCUUAGAGCUUCUUUUGUACAUGUUUUUAUGCGAGAACGUUAGAAUUUGAAAGGACUACAACCAAGUUUUAUCAAUCAUUUAAUCUUUGCAAUUUGUAGUUAAAUUGUCCAUUAAAUUGAUAUGUUAGUGUUUGUAUAAUUGUGAGGGUAGACCGUAUGUUAAAAUUGUAAGUUUUGUGGAUGUGGAGUUUUGAUACUCAAUAAUCAGGGUGAUGAUGUUAAACUGAUAUUGGAAAAAAAAUAAAUAUCGACACCCAAGAUUGAUGACUCGACCCUAAGACUAUUUUGGCCAUUGGAAGCAACCUAAUUAAUUAGUGUUGCUCAUGGCCCGAUUUUAUACUCACUGGUUGGCUUAUAUAUGUUAGCCCACUUACCUUUUUUGUAUUGGGCUUGGCCUCAUCACUUAACCUAACAUAACCCAUAUAUGCUAGCCUUCUUGGUCUUCCAUUAUUAACAUGUGUUUUUGAGAGAAAAGUUCCUGCCUUUUGCUUUGUGCUCUUGCUUGGCUAGUUUCUUCUGUUCUUCUCUAGCCUUUGUGGCUAAAAACACCGUCUCUUUUUGUCCUAAGUGGGUACAAAUCUUGAGCAAUCGGAGUGUGGAAGAAGUUUAAGGUUUUGGAUUGUGAUUGCUUGGAUGUAUUGAUAAGAUUGAGAUUGGUAUCUUGAGUCCAAAAUUUCAUCAAUUGGAGGUCGAUUUUUCAAUAUUUGGUAUCAAAGCGAGGUUGGGGUGGAAUUUCUGAUCAAAAUCUGACCAGAAUCAAAGCAGAAAUCAGUCAGAUUAAACUAUCCAGAAUUUUUUUAACUUGCAACCCAAUUUUCGGCCAAUCCAAGUGUCUUUUGGUAAAACGGAGGCCGGAUUCGUGAUUUGUAGGCGGAGGUGGUGUUGGGUGGCCGGCGCAUCUGGGUGACGUGUCAAUGACAGAGGCGUAUAAAGAUUUCGACGACUGCACGUUGGGGAGCGUGCGAGCUCCUUCGACGACGACUUCUUUAGGCAGAAUUUUUCUAACAUGUUUUCUAAUGAUUUUGUAUUGUUAGUUUUCAGUUUCAGGAUACACAAAAAAGUUGGACAUUUUUUCCCCUGGACAUUGGCAAUUGGUUGCUAGACAUUCGUGUUAGCACACCCGCUGAACUUUAGGGCGAAUAGUGGUGGCCCUAAAGCAGUAGAUUCGUAUCUCUCGUAACUUAAGUGCUCAGAUCGCUCUAGUAAAUUGGUUGAAACCUUUGCAUUAUCACAUUAGUAGAUCAUCAUGUGGGGUGAUCAUUAGGAUUGGGGGUCGUCAUUGCUUGUGCUAGAAAAUUUAGGAAUUAUCUGCCCUAUUUGAAGUGUUGAAGUUGAUUGUAGUUGGUAAUUGAUUUUGAGAUCUAAUUGUCAUAUAGUCACUGCGUGAGACUGCAUUGUGUGAUAAUUAGAAUUUUUUUAAUAUACAUGUUGCAUUGAUUAUCCUGUUAGAACAUCUAGACUUGACCCGUUUGAAAAUUCCAUUGAUCUAAGAUCGCGAAUCUUACGAAAUCCUGAGAAUUUAGAACAGUGUAUAUUGCGGCCGUAUGAUUACUUUGUGUGACAUAUCUGUGCAUUUAGUUGCUCUAUUUUCCCAAAAAUGUCUUCACAUUUUGAAGUUGGUGUUUUCAAUGGGUAAGAGAAUUUUUCAAUUUGGCAACAAAGGAUGAAAGAAAUUUUAGUUCAACAAAAAGUUUCAAAAGCCAUAAAUGGCAAAUUUCCUGCAAUUUGACAGAAAUGCAAAAAGAGGAAUACGAUGAACUUGCUUACACUUCGAUUAUCUUACAUUUAUCUGACACAGUUUUGAGAAAAGUUGGGGGAAUUGGAUUCUACAAAAGAACUUUGGAAAAAGUUGGAGGACUUAUAUUUACUUAAAUCCACUCAUAAUAAAUUAUACUUACUUGAAAGAUUUUUCAGUUUUAAAAUGGAUUUUUCAAAGGAUCUUAACGACAAUCUGGAUACAUUUAACAAACUUGUUCAAAUUAUUGUUAACUGUGAUGAAAAGGUGUCUGAAACAUAUAAAGCAAUUAUCUUACUCAAUUCUAUGCCUGAUUCAUAUAGAGAUGUUAAGAAUGCAAUUAAGUAUGGUAGGGACACCAUAACACCCGAGAUUGUCGUAGACUUAUUUAGAAGUAAGGGAAUUGAAAUCAAGGCUAAAAAUGAAGAUAAGAGGAGUGGUGAGUUACACAUGAUAAAAAGUAGGAUGAAAUUUAAGCAAUGAAUUUGGGUAGAGCUCAAAAUAGUAUUGAUUCGAGUAAUGACUCGAGUGAUGAAGGUAGUAAGAAGAAGGGUAAGGGAUGGAACAAGUCUAGUGGUAAACGGUGUUACAAUUGUGGUAAGUUUGGACACUUUAUUAGGGACUAUCCCAAGAAGAAGGAUAAACAGAAGGGUAAUGUGAGAGGUGAGAUGAAUGUGGUUGAGGGGUUGAGUCAUGACCCUAAUGAGGUUUAUUGAGAGCAAAUCUAGUUACUUCAUGCGCAUCUGUGUGUGAUCCUUUUUUUGCAUAUGUGUGAUUGCCUAAUUCUAUUGCAUGAUUAUAUGUUGCAUUUGAAUUUGUUAGAUAUGUGUAUUUGCAUGAAUUUGAGGUAAUGUGAUUAAUUUAUGUGAUUGUGUGCAUGCAUAGUGGGUUAGGAUGCAUUAGCAGCAAGUUAGAUGUCUUUUGAUAAGGUAAAGUAAAGAUGCCUAGAGGUACAUUGUAAUUUGUACCGGGGAUGUGGAGUGUGACAUUUGAAUCACGAGUGGAAAUGUGAUCAAAUGUUUAGAAUCUUUUAUUUGUGAAAGAGACCCUCUACAAGUAGAGUGUGAGAGAGGCACUUCUAUCACUUCGGUAAGGUGGAGAUCCAUUAUUCACGUAGGUUGAGAAAAAUGACGUGGUGAUAGAAGAUUAUCUCAAGAGUUUAGAAUCUAUUGUGACUUAUCAGUUAGACAUGAGUUGAGUGAUUAUCUAUUUAGCAUGGUGGGCGAUGAGAAGAGAUAUAUAUUCUCGAAGUGGAAGUAACACGAAAUGAAAUAGGAUAAGUGUAGUGAGAUUUUUCGUGGGGUAAUUUAUGUAUUUGUUGCACAUGUGUUGAUUAACUUGGUGUUAAUCUAUGGUUCUGUGUGAACACAAUUUUGAAAAGAUCUAUGUAUUAUCAUAUAUAAUAUUUUCAUUGCAUGAUUAUUUGUUCACUGUAAAUACUUGUUCCUACUUGCGUGUUUCUUUGGACCUUAAUCGUGGUGAGUACAUGAACAGUUAUGGUAUGUGUUUCAGGUUCGAAACACGAGAAAAGGUCUAUGAUACAAAUUUUAUUGGAUUACCUUGAUUGUGCCAGUAUAAACUUUGUGUUUUGUUUGCUUGCAGAUUAUUGGGUAUCAAGGUAAAGAUUGUUGGAUUUUGAUACUCAAUAAUUCGGGCGAUGAUGUUAAACCGAUGUUGGAUAAAAAUAAAUAUCGACACCUAAGAUUGAUAACUCAACUCUAAGACUAUUUUGGCCAUUGGAAGCAACCUAAUUAAUUAGUGUUGCUCAUGGCUCGAUUUCACACUCAUUGGCUGGCUUAUAUAUGUUGGCCCAAUUAGCGUUUUUGUAUUGGGCUUGACCCCUUCACUUAACCUAGUCUAACCUAUAUAUGCUAGCCUUCUUGGUCUUCUAUUAUUAACGUGUGUUUUUGAGAGAAAAGUUCCUACCUCUUGCUUUAUGCUCUUACUUGGCCAGUUUCUUCUUGUUCUUCUCUAGCCUUUGGGGUAUCAUCUUUGUGGCUAAAAACACCAUCCCUUUGUGUCCUAAGUGUGUACAAAUCUUGAGCAACCGGAGUGUGGAAGAAGUGUAAGGUUUUGGGUCGUGAUUGUUUGUGUGUAUUGAUAAGGUUGAGAUUGGUAUUUUGAGCCGAAAAUUCCACGAAUUGGAGGUCAAUUAUUCAAAAAUAAAUAUUUUGAUGUUUAACCCUUUCUUUAAAAUUUAUUUGACACAUUUUGAGUGAUUACAUAUCUCAUAAAGGUGUACCCGUUUAAACCAUUGAAACUCUUUUUUUGUGAAAAAUUGGUUUUCAAGAAACUAUCCAUUCUGAAAGGUUUUAAAAAGAGAAGAAAAUUAGUUUUAUCUUUGGUUUUCCCAUAUAUUGCCAACAUUUUUUUUUUCCAAAAGUUAGAUGUUGAGAUUUGGAUUAGCAAAGAGGAUUUUAGUCUCUGAAGUCAGAAAAUGAGAGCUCUAUUUUACAAAAAUAUGAGUUGAAAAUCUUGGAUGAAUCUUGGAUCGAUGAUUUUGAUUCAAUCAAGAAUAUUGAUCAUAUUGAAAUUUCAUGGAGUAAUUUGUUUCUGCAUUAUCUUAUAGAGUGACAAGAGAAGUUUAUAUAUACAACAAAAAAUGUAGCACAAUAGUGGAAAAAAUCAAAAUGUCUUCACCAAAGUAAAAUACUACCAAAUAAAUGUUAUUUGUGGAAGGAAAAUUCCUCGAGUAUGGAGGAUUUUUUCAUAGAUAGCAGUAUGAAAAAAUCAAGUACUUAUAGCAUGUUUCUUUGAAGAAACAGUUUUUAAUAAGUUUCAAAUCUGAUUCCAAUAUAGAUCUUGAAGCAAACAUGGACAGAUUUAAUAAGCUAUCCUUGAAUCUAACUAAUAGUUGUGAAGCUAAAUCUAGUGAUCAACAAUCUGUAGUUUUAUAUAAUACUUUUGUUUGAAAAAUACAAAGAUACGAAAAAUGCUUUAAAAUAUGCUAAAAAAAGUAUAACUGUUGAUAUAAUUGUUUUUUCAUUGAGAAAUAAAGAUUGUAAGUUAAAAAAUGAAAUCAAAGAUUCCUCAACUAGAAUUAGUUCAAUGGUUAAAGGAAAGAAUUUUCAAAAGGAAACAAUAAUAAUAAACUCGAUAAAGAAAACACUGGCGAAGGCAAAUAUUUUAUUAUUAUUUUUUCUUUUGAAAAAAAAAUUGUAUAGUGAAAAAAAAAAUUAAAAAAAUUAAGGCUAAAGGUAAAAGUUGUCAUUUUUGUGAAAAAUUAGGAUUCUUUAUAAAAUAUUGUUUCAAGAAGAUAGAUGAAAUGAAAAACACUCAAAAGACUAAGAAUGUAGUUGCAAUAGCUUAUGAAGAGGCUGCAACUACAAAUGAAAAAGUCUAUAUGGCUAGCCAUUUAAUGGUUAAAGAUGAGUGAAUUCUUGAUAUAGGGCAUGCACUUCAUAUGUCUUUUUAUAAAGAAUGUUUUCCUGAAUUUUUGAAAAUUAAUGGCGGUCGAUUAACUAUGGAAAUUUAUUUUUCUUGCAAAAUAAAAGGAAUUGAAAAAAUGGUUUUAAAUUUUGGAAAUGAUCAUAAUCUAAUUCUUGAAAAAAUCAAAUAUAUACCAGAUUUAAAGAGAAAUAUAAUUUCUCUUGAAAUUCUUAUUGAUGAAUGUUACAAAAUAAUCAUAAAAAUUUGAAUUAUUACUAUUCUUAAUAAUUUUGCUAAAACAAUUAAUACACCAAAGACCAAUGUAAUUUAUGUUUUAAGGGUUGUUCUCUUGGUGGGUGAUCCACUUGUUGCUGCAGUAUCUUAAAAUGGCAUAAAAGAUUUGGUCGUAUAAGUGAUAUAUAUAUAUAUAUAUAAAACAACUAUCUUUCUCUAUUGGAAUUCAUAAAUUCAUGUUGAUAUUGGAUUACAUGCAUGUUGAUAUGUGGGAACCAGCUAUUGUGUGUAUAUAUUAAGGUUUUAAAUAUUUCUUCAUAAUAAUUGAUGAUAUCUCUAGAAAGUAUUGGGUUAUCUUACUAAAGAAUUAGUUUGAUGCUUGCCUGAAUUUUAAAAAUUGGAGACCUCCCAUUCAAAAUCAGGUUAAUAAAAACUUAAAGACUCUUAUAAUGGCAUUGGAUUCUGUAAUGAAGAAUUUGAUAAUUUCUAUAAAACAAAAUAAACGGAGGGAGAGAUUCUUAAGCACAAAACUGUUACAUAUACUCCACAAAAUUCUUUAGCCCAAAAAAAAAAAAAACACGAAUAGGACUUUAUUUGAAAAUGUUAGAUGUAUGCUAAUGAAUUCAUGGGUCAAAAUUAUUUUGGAGAGAGAAGUUGUUAAGACUGCAUCAUACUUAAUUAAUAAUUGCUCUACUAAAUCACUGGAGUACAGAAAACUUGGAUCAAAUAUGCAAUGAUCAUCUUGUUGAUCAAAUAUUUAAUGUAUUGUUUAUGCACAUUAGAAUUAAGGGAGAUUAGAAUUAUAAGUUAUUAAAGGCACAAUCUUGGACUAUGGGAAAUGGGUAAAGGGCUAAGGCUGUAGCUUAAAAAUAAGGAAGACUAUAGUCAUAAUAAGCAUAAAUGUAACUUUUAAUGAGAGUGAGAUGCCUUGUUUAAACUUUAAAGGAGAAAAUUCUAUAAGUAAUGAUGGUCCGGUUAAAAAUUGAGAUAGUUGAUCUCAUUUCUUUAGAUUUAAAUCAAAGAAAUGAUGAUCAAAUUGAGGAAGAACAAACUAAAAUAGAAGAAAAUGCCCUAAAAUUGAACCCCGAGAAUCUUGAGUUUGAAUUGGCUAGGGAUAAAGCCAAGAGAGAAAUAAGAACAUUAACCAGAUUUGGUGAAGCGAAUUUAAUUUCUGUAUAUAAUGUCUAGAAUUUUCUUGAAUCUGAGCCUAAUUAAUUUGAAGAGGCCGUAAGCGGAAAAGAUGCAGACUUCUAACUGGCAACUAUGAAGAAUGAAAUGCAUUUCUUAUUAAAAAAAUAAAAUCUGGACCUUAGUCAAUAAACCAAAUGGAACAAAAAUGAUAGGUUGUAUGUGGAUUUAUAAAAUCAAAUAGGGUGAAUUCAAAAGUAAUAGUAUGAGUAUAAGACUAGGUUGGUUGUUAAGGAUUUCACUCAAAAGCGAGGAUAUAGACUAUAAUAAAAUAUAAAAAGAAGGUGACUCCUACUUUGUGAGCGUUGGUCAAGCUAUUUAUCAAUCAUUUUUCUGUCAUUGUAUCUUCCAUUUUAAAAUUACUUGUGGUAUAAGGCUAUAAGAAAACAUUAUCUACUUCAACAUCCAAACUGAUUUUCUUAUAGAGAUAUUAACAAAUGGAGUCCUUCUGGUUUAUCUUCAUAGUCUCCCUAUUAUGCAUCCUUCCGCUUCUCAAAUCGCUAUUUUCUUCAAUCGCCGGUGCCCGCAAGAAGAACCUUCCGCCAGGACCCAUUUCGGUACCGUUGAUCGGAAACUUGGUAUGGCUGCGCAGGUCUCUUUCUGAGCUGGAAUUCAUCCUCCGCGAGUUCAAGACCAAGUACGGCCCCUUUAUCACCAUCAGAAUUGGCCCUCGUGUCAGGUUUAUAUUUAUCGGCAGUCACUCCCUCGCUCACCGUGCUCUUGUCCAAAACGGCGCCGUCUUCUCCGACCGUCCAAGAGGCCCACCGACGAGUAAGAUCGUGACGAGCAACCAGCACACCAUCAGCUCCGCCACCUAUGGCGCCACCUGGAGGAUCCUCCGCCGUAACUUAACGUAUGAGAUUUUACACCCCUCCCGUGUGAAGUCGUACUCCAUGUCCCGCGGAUGGGUGCUUGGUGGUCUUAUUCAGCGGCUUGUGGUGGCGCAGUCGUCGGAAUCGUUUGUGACCGUAAUCGAUCAUUUUCAUUUCGCUAUGUUCUGUCUGUUGGUGAUCAUGUGCUUUGGGGACAAGCUCCACGAGAAUCAAAUUAAAGAAAUUGAAGCCAUACAGCGGCGAUUGCUUUUGAAUUUUCGUAGAUUCAAUGCGCUCAACUUCUGGCCUCGAUUAGGGAGAAUUUUGUUUCGUAAUCGCUGGAAUGAGCUGAUUCGACUACGCCAAGAACAGGAAAACGUGUAUAUCCCUCUGAUUAGAACUCGUCUCCAAGCCAAACAAAGGCCUAUCAAUCAAAGUGAAGAGCAAGAGGCCGAAGUGGUUGCUUAUGUAGACUCUCUGGCAGACUUACAGCUACCGGAGGAAAACAGAAAGCUAGAUGAGAGGGAAAUGGUGAGUCUAUGCAGUGAAUUUCUUAUUGCAGGCACCGAUACCACAGCCACAGCUUUGCAGUGGAUCAUGGCUAACUUGGUUAAACACCCCGAGAUUCAAUCCAAGCUUUACGAUGAGAUAAUUGAAGUCGUGGGACUGCCUCCUGCAAUGGCAAUGUCUAGUAACAAAGAGUCAAGCAUGCAGCAAAUGGUAAAGGAGGAGGAUUUACAGAAGAUGCCAUACUUGAAGGCUGUCGUGUUAGAAGCAUUGAGGCGCCACCCGCCAGGGCAUUUCGUGUUGCCCCAUCUGGUCUCAGAGGAAGUUGAAUUGGAUGGUUAUGUGAUCCCGAAGAACGGGCUUGUGAAUUUCAUGGUAGCCGACAUGGGUUUGGAUCCAAAAGUGUGGGAGGAUCCGAUGGAAUUCAAUCCCGAAAGGUUCUUAGCGGAUGGUGGGGAAGCGUUUGAUAUAACGGGGAGUAGGGAGAUCAAGAUGAUGCCAUUUGGCGCAGGGAGGAGAAUAUGUCCCGGAUGGGCUCUGGCUCUGCUUCACUUGGAGUACUUUGUUGCCAAUCUGAUUUGGUACUUUAAAUGGACAGCCCUUGAUGGAGACGAUAUUGAUCUGUCAGAGAAGCAAGAGUUCACCACUGUCAUGAAGAAUCCAUUGCGAGCUCGAAUCUCUCCUAGAGUUCCAUAAGUUUAUAUCCGGUAAUUACUAUUACGACUUAUCGUGAAGUUUUACUCGAAAGUUUAUGCAAUAUUCACUUCGUUCUCAUGUGUUGAAACUCUAUAUGCA
rnacentral:lncRNA from 1 species